rnacentral:rRNA from 1 species
GAUGAACGCUGGCGGCGUGCCUAAUACAUGCAAGUCGAGCGAACAGACGAGGAGCUUGCUCCUCUGACGUUAGCGGCGGACGGGUGAGUAACACGUGGAUAACCUACCUAUAAGACUGGGAUAACUUCGGGAGACCGGAGCUAAUACCGGAUAAUAUAUUGAACCGCAUGGUUCAAUAGUGAAAGACGGUUUUGCUGUCACUUAUAGAUGGAUCCGCGCCGCAUUAGCUAGUUGGUAAGGUAACGGCUUACCAAGGCAACGAUGCGUAGCCGACCUGAGAGGGUGAUCGGCCACACUGGAACUGAGACACGGUCCAGACUCCUACGGGAGGCAGCAGUAGGGAAUCUUCCGCAAUGGGCGAAAGCCUGACGGAGCAACGCCGCGUGAGUGAUGAAGGUCUUCGGAUCGUAAAACUCUGUUAUUAGGGAAGAACAAAUGUGUAAGUAACUAUGCACGUCUUGACGGUACCUAAGCAGAAAGCCACGGCUAACUACGU